UACGUAGGGUGCAAGCGUUGUCCGGAAUUAUUGGGCGUAAAGAGCUCGUAGGCGGUUUGUCGCGUCGAAUGUGAAAACCCGGGGCUCAACUCCGGGCCUGCAUUCGAUACGGGCAGACUAGAGUUCGGUAGGGGAGACUGGAAUUCCUGGUGUAGCGGUGAAAUGCGCAGAUAUCAGGAGGAACACCGAUGGCGAAGGCAGGUCUCUGGGCCACUACUGACGCUGAGAAGCGAAAGCAUGGGGAGCGAACAGG
rnacentral:rRNA from 1 species